AUAUGUGCACCCUAUAUUCGUUCUGGCGCUGUAUCAUGCCAUGUCUUCGAUUCAAAUCCCUUGACGAGGAACAAUCGGAGGGCAAGUCUGGUGCCAGCAGCCGCGGUAAUGUCAGCUCCAA
rnacentral:ncRNA from 1 species